rnacentral:rRNA from 1 species
UGGGGAAUAUUGGACAAUGGGCGAAAGCCUGAUCCAGCCAUGCCGCGUGUGUGAAGAAGGUCUUCGGAUUGUAAAGCACUUUAAGUUGGGAGGAAGGGCAGUUACCUAAUACGUGAUUGUUUUGACGUUACCGACAGAAUAAGCACCGGCUAACUCUGUGCCAGCAGCCGCGGUAAUACAGAGGGUGCAAGCGUUAAUCGGAAUUACUGGGCGUAAAGCGCGCGUAGGUGGUUUGUUAAUUUGGAUGUGAAAUCCCCGGGCUCAACCUGGGAACUGCAUUCAAAACUGACUGACUAGAGUAUGGUAGAGGGUGGUGGAAUUUCCUGUGUAGCGGUGAAAUGCGUAGAUAUAGGAAGGAACACCAGUGGCGAAGGCGACCACCUGGACUAAUACUGACACUGAGGUGCGAAAGCGUGGGGAGCAAACA